UACAGAGGGGGCAAGCGUUGUUCGGAAUUACUGGGCGUAAAGGGCGCGCAGGCGGCCUGUUAAGUCGAACGUGAAAUCCCCGGGCUCAACCCGGGAACUGCGUCCGAUACUGGCAGGCUUGAAUCCGGGAGAGGGAUGCGGAAUUCCAGGUGUAGCGGUGAAAUGCGUAGAUAUCUGGAGGAACACCGGUGGCGAAGGCGGCAUCCUGGACCGGCAUUGACGCUGAGGAGCGAAAGCCAGGGGAGCAAACGGG
rnacentral:rRNA from 1 species